rnacentral:ncRNA from 1 species
CAUAGUAAGGGUUGAUAGACUGAGAGCUCUUUCAAGAUUCUAUGGAUGGUGGUGCAUGACUGUUCUUAGUUGGUAGAGUGAUUUGUCUGGUUAAUUUCGAGAAGAAAAAACUAAUUAAAGUGAAAGAAGCUAAUUAACAAAUAUUAGUUGAAAGAUUAUUAUCCCUCUUGGGGAAUUAACAAGGAGCGUCCUGGUUUAAUUUUCCUUUUGCUUAUCUUAGGGAGACCACAUCAGUCAAAAGAGUUGUAUACUUU